rnacentral:tRNA from 1 species
GGGGAUUUAGCUCAGUGGUAGAGUGCUUGCCUAUAAAGCACAAGACCCUGGGUUCGGUCCCCAGCUCUG